GGCCCGUAGCUCAGCUGGAUAGAGCACGUGCCUUCUAAGCUCGGGGUCGUAGGUUCGAACCCUACCGGGCGCGCCA
rnacentral:tRNA from 1 species